AGCAGCCGCCGUAAUACAGAGGGUGCGAGCGUUAAUCGGAUUUACUGGGCGUAAAGCGUGCGUAGGCGGCUACUUGAGUCGGAUGUGAAAUCCCCGAGCUUAACUGGGGAAUUGCAUUCGAUACUGGUUAGCUAGAGUGUGGGAGAGGAUGGUAGAAUUCCAGGUGUAGCGGUGAAAUGCGUAGAGAUCUGGAGGAAUCCCGAUGGCGAAGGCAGCGAUCUGGCCUAAGACUGACGCUGAGGUACGAAAGCAUGGGGAGCAAACAGGAUUAGAUACCCUGGUAGUCCAUGCCGUAAACGAUGUCUACUAGCCGUUGGUCUCUUUGAGGGAUUAGUGGCGCAGCUAACGCGAUAAGUAGACCGCCUGGGGAGUACGGUCGCAAGACUAAAACUCAAAUGAAUUGACGGGGGCCCGCCCAAGCGGUGGAGCAUGUGGUUUAAUUCGAUGCAACGCGAAGAACCUUACCUGGUCUUGACAUAGUAAGAACUUUCCAGAGAUGGAUUGGUGCCUUCGGGAACUUACAUACAGGUGAUGCAUGGCUGUGGUCAGCUGGUGUCGUGAGAUGUUGGGUUAAGUCCCGCAACGAGCGCAACCCUUUUCCUUAUUUGCCAGCACUUUGGGUGGGAACUUUAAGGAUACUGCCAGUGACAAACUGGAGGAAGGCGGGGACGACGUCAAGUCAUCAUGGCCCUUACGACCAGGGCUACACACGUGCUACAAUGGUCGGUACAAAGGGUUGCUACCUAGCGAUAGGAUGCUAAUCUCAAAAAGCCGAUCGUAGUCCGGAUUGGAGUCUGCAACUCGACUCCAUGAAGUC
rnacentral:rRNA from 1 species